UCUACCAAACAUGGCCUAAGAGAAAAUCUGUCGCCCUCUUCCUCCUCUUCAUAGCUCGCCGCUGCCGUAGGUAAAUACGGCAGCUCCGUCCAUCACUCAAAUCCAUGCUCUGGGUUCUUCAAUGUUUUACUAUGGAAGUUAGUUCGUUGUUGGAAGAGGUUCAAAUUGAGGCUGUCUCUUCCCCUGCACCACCGCCGUUCUUCUUUUGCCUUUGUCAUUGGGUCUCUUAUUCCUCAUCUUGACUUGCUUCAACCUUGCUGUUCUGCAUGUUCGAAUAUGGAGAGAGAAGUUCAAGCAAGUUGACAUAUUAGUCUUUUGAGGACGAUGAAGAAGUAUGGACUUGAAUUUUAUUUGAGUUUAAUUUGAAUUUAUAUAUGAAUGAAAUUAGGGAAAACUAGACUAAUUCAAAUAUGGAUAUUGGAGAAUUUUGAGGACAAUUGUUGGGAUGAAUGGAAGAAUUGAAGCUUGGUAUUAGUUAAGAUUGGAUGUUUGUGAGAUAUUCAAUGAAAUAGCUAUUGGAAGGAGUUGGCCCAUGAUGAUUAAACAUGUGUAAUAAUUUAAUUAUUGUUGUUUAGAAAAUUUUUGGAAGGCACUUUUCUUUGAUAGAAGUUGGAAGCUUGGUCAUUUCAAAUACUGAUUUAGGACAACUUUUAGUAAAGGAAUUGAAAAGAAAAAAAAAACAAAAAAAAAACACUUGGUCUUAUAGGCUAAAUAUUGUUUAAAUAAAGGGUAUUUGAUAAAAUGUUUGAAAAGAGGAAUUUUGUAUUUAAAGUGGAAAAAUAUAUGUGAUAAUUAUAUUAUUGUUGAUUAAAUAAUCUUGAAAGACAUUUGUUCUUUGCA